rnacentral:rRNA from 1 species
AACGAACGCUGGCGGCAUGCCUAACACAUGCAAGUCGAACGAAGGCUUCGGCCUUAGUGGCGCACGGGUGCGUAACGCGUGGGAAUCUGCCCUUUGGUUCGGAAUAACAGCUGGAAACGGCUGCUAAUACCGGAUGAUGACGAAAGUCCAAAGAUUUAUCGCCAGAGGAUGAGCCCGCGUUGGAUUAGGUAGUUGGUGGGGUAAAGGCCUACCAAGCCGACGAUCCAAAGCUGGUCUGAGAGGAUGAUCAGCCACACUGGGACUGAGACACGGCCCAGACUCCUACGGGAGGCAGCAGUGGGGAAUAUUGGACAAUGGGCGCAAGCCUGAUCCAGCAAUGCCGCGUGAGCGAUGAAGGCCCUAGGGUUGUAAAGCUCUUUUACCCGGGAAGAUAAUGACUGUACCGGGAGAAUAAGCCCCGGCUAACUCCGUG